rnacentral:rRNA from 1 species
GACAGAGGAGGCAAGCGUUGUCCGGAAUUAUUGGGCGUAAAGCGCGCGCAGGCGGUCCUUUAAGUCUGAUGUGAAAGCCCACGGCUCAACCGUGGAGGGUCAUUGGAAACUGGGGGGACUUGAGUGCAGGAGAGAGGAGUGGAAUUCCACGUGUAGCGGUGAAAUGCGUAGAUAUCGGGAGGAACACCAGUGGCGAAGGCGACUUCCUGGCCUGUUCUUGACGCUGAGGCGCGAAAGCUAGGGGAGCAAACGGG